GAAGCUGGAAUUGCUAGUAAUGGCAGGUCAGCAUACUGCCGUGAAUACGUUCCCGGGCCUUGUACACACCGCCCGUCACACCAUGAGAGCUGGUAACACCCGAAGUCAGUAGUCUAACCGCAAGGAGGACGCUGCCGAAGGUGGGAUUAGCGACUGGGGUGAAGUCGUAACAAGGUAAC
rnacentral:rRNA from 1 species